GCACCCAUGGAGCAGAAGUUUAGCUCAUUCCCCUCCCAUUCUAGUGGUAAGGGAAAGACCCGGGUGCAAAUCCCGGUGGGUGCA
rnacentral:tRNA from 1 species